rnacentral:lncRNA from 13 species
CAAAGCACUUGUUAUUUAGAAACAAUUCUCUUCCCACUAGGGAGAAAAAAGGGAGACCAAGGGAGACACAACACAUCUCUCUUCCAAAAGGCCAGGCCAGAUCACUGAUAAAAGCAGCGUUUUUCCUGACAAUUACGUGGAAUUUAAGAUGUGCCUACUUCCCUUUUGCCUUCUGCCGUGACUGAAAGUUUCCUGAGGCCUUCUCAGAAGCCAUCAUGCUUCCUGUACAGCCUGCAGAACCAUUGCUUCAGCCCAGCCAAUUCCCUUGGAUUUGAUGGUUUCCAAACAAAUUUCACUUUGAGAAUUUAUUUUCUCAGCUACUUUGAUAAGGGGAGUCAAUUGUCCUUUAUACCAGUUUUGUAUAAUCACUCAUUCACAGGAAUAAUCCAAGUUACUUGAAAUAAAUCUUGAUUCGCAAAUCCA